rnacentral:rRNA from 1 species
UACGUAGGGUGCAAGCGUUGUCCGGAAUUAUUGGGCGUAAAGAGCUUGUAGGCGGUUUGUCGCGUCUGCUGUGAAAACUCGGGGCUUAACUCCGGGCCUGCAGUGGGUACGGGCAGACUAGAGUGCGGUAGGGGAGACUGGAAUUCCUGGUGUAGCGGUGAAAUGCGCAGAUAUCAGGAGGAACACCGGUGGCGAAGGCGGGUCUCUGGGCAUUAACUGACGCUGAGGAGCGAAAGCAUGGGGAGCGAACAGG